UACGGAGGAUGCAAGCGUUAUCCGGAAUGAUUGGGCGUAAAGCGUCCGCAGGUGGCUGUGUAAGUCUGCUGUCAAAGAGCAAAGCUCAACUUUGUAAAGGCAGUGGAAACUACACGGCUAGAGUGCGUUCGGGGCAGAGGGAAUUCCUGGUGUAGCGGUGAAAUGCGUAGAUAUUGCUCGGAAGGCCAGAGCCGAAGGGGCCCUACUGGUGCGUAACUGACACUGAGGCACGAAAGCGUGGGGAGCAAACAGG
rnacentral:rRNA from 1 species